AGUAAUUAUAUUUACAAUAAGUAGGCUCAUCAAUUUACAAUGCCAAAUCAAGUUAUAAUUUUUUAAAUUACAAUUACAAUCAAAUUGCAACCAUAAAUUAAAUUACAAUAAGAUUUAAACCAAACUAAAUUAAAUUACAAUAAUUUUUAAUUUGUUGCUGUUGUUGCCUCUCUGUUUCUGAUGCAAUGUUUGGCUCUGUUUUGUUGCUGCCUUUCUGUUUCAGAUGCAGUGUCAUUGACCUUUGCUUUGUAACUAAUCAGAGAAACAUAAAAACAUAAUUUUUUUAAGUGAGUCUUGGUACACAUUGUGCAGAACAAAGAGACAAAUUUUUGAGUUUAAAAAAAGAAACUAAAAGACAAAUGAAUAAGCUCAGCAAUGAACAGAUCAGAACGAGUAAAAGCUAAAACCGUGAAUAGAUCAGAGAUGCAGAAAAACGCAGAUGAUGAGCAAAGCAAUCAAAACAUCAAACAGGAAAUAGAUAGAGAAGGACCAAGACAGACCAGAAAACAACUAAACCUAAAAAAAAACUCUAUAAAUAUACCCUAUAAAAUUUCAAAGAGGGGGAGGAAUAUGAGAUUUAACACCACUGAUAAAAAACAUACAAAGAACGAGAAAUCAAACACGAAUAGAAAAAAUACUUAAACAGAAAAAAGGAGAGUAAAAGCAGUAGCAAAAGGAAACGAGCCAGAAGAAGAGAAGGUAUUUUCUUUCUUUUACAUAGUUCUAUUGUCAUGUAAAUGUAAGCUAAUAUAAAAAUAAAUUUUGUUUUUGAAAGUAAAAUAGAAAACGAAAAACUCACACCUUGGACGAUGAUGUUGUCGGCGCUGCCACCGUCGCCGAGGUUGCCGUCACCUUCCUCACCGUCGCCGAGGUUGCCGUCACCUUCCUUACUGUCGCUAUUCCCUCAUAUCGUUUUCGUUUUCGCAUCCUGGUUCCAAUCGCGUUUCUGGCCGCCUCCUUUGUGUUUCAAAUUGGCCGUUUUCCUUAAAUGAAAUUAGGGUUUCUUAGUUUCAG
rnacentral:lncRNA from 1 species